UUAGUGGCGAACGGGUGAGUAACACGUGGGCAAUCUGCCCUGCACUCUGGGACAAGCCCUGGAAACGGGGUCUAAUACCGGAUAUGACCGUCCAUCGCAUGGUGGAUGGUGUAAAGCUCCGGCGGUGCAGGAUGAGCCCGCGGCCUAUCAGCUAGUUGGUGAGGUAGUGGCUCACCAAGGCGACGACGGGUAGCCGGCCUGAGAGGGCGACCGGCCACACUGGGACUGAGACACGGCCCAGACUCCUACGGGAGGCAGCAGUGGGGAAUAUUGCACAAUGGGCGAAAGCCUGAUGCAGCGACGCCGCGUGAGGGAUGACGGCCUUCGGGUUGUAAACCUCUUUCAGCAGGGAAGAAGCGAAAGUGACGGUACCUGCAGAAGAAGCGCCGGCUAACUACGUGCCAGCAGCCGCGGUAAUACGUAGGGCGCAAGCGUUGUCCGGAAUUAUUGGGCGUAAAGAGCUCGUAGGCGGCUUGUCACGUCGGUUGUGAAAGCCCGGGGCUUAACCCCGGGUCUGCAGUCGAUACGGGCAGGCUAGAGUUCGGUAGGGGAGAUCGGAAUUCCUGGUGUAGCGGUGAAAUGCGCAGAUAUCAGGAGGAACACCGGUGGCGAAGGCGGAUCUCUGGGCCGAUACUGACGCUGAGGAGCGAAAGCGUGGGGAGCGAACAGGAUUAGAUACCCUGGUAGUCCACGCCGUAAACGGUGGGCACUAGGUGUGGGCAACAUUCCACGUUGUCCGUGCCGCAGCUAACGCAUUAAGUGCCCCGCCUGGGGAGUACGGCCGCAAGGCUAAAACUCAAGGAAUUGACGGGGGCCCGCACAAGCGGCGGAGCAUGUGGCUUAAUUCGACGCAACGCGAAGAACCUUACCAAGGCUUGACAUACACCGGAAAGCAUCAGAGAUGGUGCCCCCCUUGUGGUCGGUGUACAGGUGGUGCAUGGCUGUCGUCAGCUCGUGUCGUGAGAUGUUGGGUUAAGUCCCGCAACGAGCGCAACCCUUGUCCCGUGUUGCCAGCAGGCCCUUGUGGUGCUGGGGACUCACGGGAGACCGCCGGGGUCAACUCGGAGGAAGGUGGGGACGACGUCAAGUCAUCAUGCCCCUUAUGUCUUGGGCUGCACACGUGCUACAAUGGCCGGUACAAUGAGCUGCGAUACCGUGAGGUGGAGCGAAUCUCAAAAAGCCGGUCUCAGUUCGGAUUGGGGUCUGCAACUCGACCCCAUGAAGUCGGAGUCGCUAGUAAUCGCAGUACAGCAUUGCUGCG
rnacentral:rRNA from 1 species